CCUACGGGUGGCAGCAGUGAGGAAUAUUGGUCAAUGGGCGGAAGCCUGAACCAGCCAAGUAGCGUGCGGGAUGAAGGCCCUACGGGUCGUAAACCGCUUUUGCACGGGGAUAACACCCUCCUCUUGUGGAGUUCUGCAGUUACCGUGCGAAUAAGGGCCGGCUAAUUCCGUGCCAGCAGCCGCGGUAAUACGGAAGGCCCGAGCGUUAUCCGGAUUCAUUGGGCUUAAAGUGAGCGUAGGCGGGCGUUCAAGUCAGCUGUAAAAUCGCGCGGCUCAACCGCGCCCCGCAGUUGAAACUGGACGCCGAGAGUUAACAACAGGUAAGCGGAAGUCGUGGUGUAGCGGUGAAAUGCCUAGAUA
rnacentral:rRNA from 1 species